UCUCUAUGGUUACAAACCACCUCCCUUAACAUUCCUGGCUUUGGAUAAUACUAUUGUAGGUGCUGUUGUUGAUUUUGUGAAGGAUAGGCAGCGCAUGUCUUAGCUAAUUAGGCAGAAUCUGCUAAUGGCUCAUAAUAGGAUGAAACAGUAUGCUGAUAAAAAGAGGUCUAACAGGACUUUUGAACUGGGGGACCGGGUUUACCUUAAGCUGCAGCCCUACAGACAGACAUCAGUAGCUCUAAGAAAGAAUUUUAAGCUAGCAACCACAUUCUAUGGUCCAUUUCAGGUGGAGGCUAAAGUGGGUUCUGUUGCU
rnacentral:misc_RNA from 1 species